UUAAUAUCGAUUUGUAAUAAUGAAUUAUAAUUUGUUAUUAUUAUUGUUAGUCGUGUAUUUUUGUGAAGCAGUUGAUAGGACACCAUCAUCAAGGAGUCAUUGUAUGGCCAAGAAUCAGACAGCAAAAACUGUUUCUUCAAAAAAUUUUGCCUAUCGUCAUCAUUUUGGGAACGCUACAGAAAAAUCAAAUCAAGAUAACAACUACGAAUGCAUAUACAUGAAGAGAUAUUUGGCAGCCAUUUCUGCUUUGACAAAUGACAGUCGAGCGGGUCAGUUGUCAAGACAUGUUGGUAAGAUGUUGAUACCAAUGAAGAUUAAAGAAGAUUGGUUUUGGGAGGAUAAUUUAGAAGACGACUUGAAAAACUGGUUCUCAAAUAUGGAUAGAUCUCUCAAUUAAGUAGUGUUAAGUAUAUUGUGUAAACUUUUAGUUUUUAGAUUUGUGUGUUUUGGGCUUAGUUGUAUUGUGAAUAGGUAAGGCUUUUGUUAUUAAAUAAAAUAUAUAAAAAUAUAAAAAUCUCAAUCGAUGUUUUCUUAUAAAUUUGUUAAGACUUAAAGCUAACAUGGUUUGUGAAUGGGAUACGAUAAAGUUAUUUUGGUCAAUAUAGAAAAUAUUUAGUUUCUCAAUAUAGACAGUAGUAAAUAGGUGUUUAUUUCAAAUAUGUAAUAUUAUUAAAAUAUAAGCCUCAAAUCUCUCGUCUAAGUAUCCAAUAAAUGUACCAAAAACAAAA